UAGAGUUACCAAACUCCAAACCCAUGUGAACUUACCAGUUUGUUGCCUCGGCAGGCCUCCGCAUCUCGCCUCCGGGCGGGUACGGAACUCAUAGGUCUGCCGGCGGUCCCUUUAAACUCUUGUAUUACCCUGUAAAUCUGAGCGUUUAAAACAAAUAAGUUA
rnacentral:misc_RNA from 1 species